GACGUACGCUGGCGGCGUGCUUAACACAUGCAAGUCGAACGGAAAGGCCCUGCUUUUGUGGGGUGCUCGAGUGGCGAACGGGUGAGUAACACGUGAGUAACCUGCCCUUGACUUUGGGAUAACUUCAGGAAACUGGGGCUAAUACCGGAUAGGAGCUCCUGCUGCAUGGUGGGGGUUGGAAAGUUUCGGCGGUUGGGGAUGGACUCGCGGCUUAUCAGCUUGUUGGUGGGGUAGUGGCUUACCAAGGCUUUGACGGGUAGCCGGCCUGAGAGGGUGACCGGCCACAUUGGGACUGAGAUACGGCCCAGACUCCUACGGGAGGCAGCAGUGGGGAAUAUUGCACAAUGGGCGGAGGCCUGAUGCAGCAACGCCGCGUGCGGGAUGACGGCCUUCGGGUUGUAAACCGCUUUCGCCUGUGACGAAGCGUGAGUGACGGUAAUGGGUAAAGAAGCACCGGCUAACUACGUG
rnacentral:rRNA from 1 species